rnacentral:rRNA from 1 species
AACAAACGCUGGCGGCGUGCCUAAUACAUGCAAGUCGAACGGGGAAAGUUCUUCGGAAUGAGUACUAGUGGCGUACGGGUGAGCAACACGUGGAUAAUCUUCCUUCAGGUGGGGAAUAACGAGUCGAAAGAUUCGCUAAUACCGCAUAAGACCACAGUAACUUUGGUUACAGGGGUUAAAGACUUCGGUCGCCUUUAGAUGAGUCUGCGUCCGAUUAGCUAGUUGGUGAGGUAAUGGCUCACCAAGGCGACGAUCGGUAACUGGUCUGAGAGGACGGCCAGUCACACUGGGACUGAGACACGGCCCAGACUCCUACGGGAGGCAGCAGUAGGGAAUUUUGCACAAUGGAGGAAACUCUGAUGCAGCGACGCCGCGUGAGUGAUGAAGGCCUUCGGGUCGUAAAGCUCUGUUCUCAGGGAAUAAAAAAUAGAAGGUACCUGAGGAGAAAGGACCGGCUAACUUCGUGCCAGCAGCCGCGGUAA